rnacentral:rRNA from 1 species
AUUGAACGCUGGCGGCAGGCCUAACACAUGCAAGUCGAGCGAGCGGCGGACGGGUGAGUAAUGUCUGGGAAACUGCCUGCUGGAGGGGGAUCACUACUGGAAACGGUAGCUAAUACAGCAUACCAUCAGAUGUGCCCCGAUGGGUUUAGCUGGUAGGUGGGGUAACGGGUCACCUAGGCGACACUCACUAGCUGGGCUGAGAGGAUGACCAGCCACACUGGAACUGUGACACGGUCCAGACUCCGACGGGAGGCAGCAGUGGGGAAUAGUGCACAAUGGGCGCAAGCCUGAUGCAGCCAUGCCGCGUGUAUGAAGAAGGCCUUCGGGUUGUAAAGUACUUUCAGCGGGGAGGCGUUACCCGCAGAAGAAGCACCGGCUAACUCCGUGCCAGCAGCCGCGGUAAUAC